UGGGGAAUUUUGGACAAUGGGCGCAAGCCUGAUCCAGCCAUGCCGCGUGCAGGAUGAAGGCCUUCGGGUUGUAAACUGCUUUUGUACGGAACGAAAAGGUGCCUUCUAAUAAAGGGCGCUCAUGACGGUACCGUAAGAAUAAGCACCGGCUAACUACGUGCCAGCAGCCGCGGUAAUACGUAGGGUGCGAGCGUUAAUCGGAAUUACUGGGCGUAAAGCGUGCGCAGGCGGUUUUGUAAGACAGAGGUGAAAUCCCCGGGCUCAACCUGGGAACUGCCUUUGUGACUGCAACGCUGGAGUGCGGCAGAGGGGGAUGGAAUUCCGCGUGUAGCAGUGAAAUGCGUAGAUAUGCGGAGGAACACCGAUGGCGAAGGCAAUCCCCUGGGCCUGCACUGACGCUCAUGCACGAAAGCGUGGGGAGCAAACA
rnacentral:rRNA from 1 species